CAGAAGCGCGGCGACCGGCGAUCUGGAACGGCCGGACGUGGCUGGUCAGGCGUCGAUGAAGGUCAACGACCUGUGCAGAUUAUUCUGCUCUGCUGCAACGGGACCGGAGUGUUGCUGCUUGCUGCAACGGAGGAGAUCUGCUCACGCCGGCUGCUGCAACUGCUCUGCUGGUCACGCCGCUGCUCACGGAGAAGGGACUGCGGACGCCGGAGCUUGGAAACGGAGGCGAGCAAAGGCAGGGGCUGCUCGGUGUCUGGGCAGCGACCGAGCGUCUCGCGUCUGCGUCUGGGUCUAGCUCGGCGGCACUCCGGUGGGAAGAGGCGGGUGGCGCUCAGGUGGGAAGUGGCGCGGUGGCCCGGCGGAAAAACGUUAUUCGCAGCUCCGCUCAGGAGAGAGAAAAGUCCAUCCCUAAGCC
rnacentral:lncRNA from 1 species